rnacentral:lncRNA from 1 species
UCCCAGUACUUCCCUUUUUAUCAACAGUAGUUUAGAAUUAAUGCAACAGCAAAUGUGUUUUUUUUAAUGUUCUAGCAACCAUGCGGUUCUUAACUUCUUCUUAUCUAUGGUGUUUCAUGGCCCAUGCUACUGCCUUGCUGAGCACGUGAGCACAAAUUUUAGGUUCCAUGCUGUUUUACCUCCACAUAUAAUAGCCAUGUUG